AGCGUAGAGAAGCGAAGAAACGAAGUUGGAAAACAGAUAAAAACCAAGGCCUGGAUGGUUGCCUCUGUUUGUCAGUGCUAUGAGAAAACUCGAUUACUGAAGGAACCUGGAUGUUAAAACAAGCGUUGGUGCUUUUUUUGUCGAACACGAGUGAGGCUGGACGCUGAAUACACCUUCGAUGUGAAGGUCUACUUGUUCAGCUGCUGCAACUUGGACAGACACACCAACAUUACCUUAAAGACCAACAGGUGUCACCACUUUGCCCACAACGUCAUCCACAAUCACUGAAACAUCGUCCAUUCAAUUCAGUUUUAUUUAUAUAGUGCUGAAUCACAACAGAGGUUAUCACAAGGCACUUUUCAUAUAGAGCAGGUCUAGACUGUACUCUUUAGAAUAUUAUAAUUACAGAGAGAAACCCAACAGUCGCCCCCCCCCCCCAGCAAGCACUAGGCUACAGUGGCAAGGAAAAACUUCCUUUAAGAGGCAGAAACCAGGCUCAGGGUGGGAGGCCAUCUGCCUCGAUCGUUUGAGUGGAGAAAGCGAGAGAGAGAGGGGAAGGGGGAAAAAGGGGCAUAGAAAAUAGACACAGGAGAACAUAGCAUAAUGCAGAUUGGUAACAAUAAUACAAAAGAGGUAAUAAUAGUGAUGACAAUUGAAAUCGUAAAUGCAAUAGUAGCAGUCAUACCAGAAGCAGUACUAGUAAUUUCUAAAUAUAACAGCAGGUGUUGAGUGGGGUUGUAUUCCAUGAUCACAGAGACAUUGUCCAUGACUUGUAGAGACAUGCAAAGUUCCCAAUUUUGAGGGCAUCAUCCAUGAUCUCAGAAACAUAGUCCACAAUCACAUAGAGUCUUCGUACAAUGAAGAAGUUCUUUGAGACCAGGACAGAGGCCUCCAGGUAAUUCACAAACAGCGUUACAUCAACUGUCCAACACAGAGCACUGACAUUAAAUUGUUUAUGUUCAGUAUUCAGUAUAGCAGAAAAGUGUCAUGAUAGAAGUAAUCUGCUACAUAAAAAGACUGUAUAAUUUGUGUAAAUGAACAGAAGUAAAGUAAAAGUAAAGAGCAAUAUCAUAAGUAGGAUGUAAUAGUCAAAGUAAUCUGUUACUAAAUGCAGUUUGCAACAGUAAAAGUUAAAUAUAAAUUAAGUAAUAUGUAAUAUGAAAAAUAAUAUGUAAUGGUAAAAGUAAACUAAUAUGAGAAGUAACAGUAAAAGUAAUCGGUAAUAUAAAACCAAUACAGAAGUAAUAGUAAUCCAAAAGAAAAAAUGUAUAAGUAAAAAAUGUCAUGCUGUAGAAAAGCAUCAAAUAUGUCAUAGUACGGUAAGGCAUCAAAGAAUCUGAACGAUUCAGAAUAUUGUAAAACAUCAAAACAAUAUAAGAGAAUAUAGAGUUAGAGGCUUCAAAAAUGUGGAAUUUGCCUUAUGUUGUAUAUCACACUUUGUCAAGGCACAAGAUGUAACUUUGCCAGUGUAUGUGUGUAUGUUUACAGUCAGGUUACCAAUUAAUGUUAGCAUGUAUACAACCUAACUUGUAGGUUAUGUUUGAUUUUGUGUUUGUCAUUUCAUUUUGGUAUUUGUUCAAAUAAAUGUUUCUGAACCCUUAAUAUU